rnacentral:rRNA from 1 species
GACAGAGGGUGCAAACGUUGUUCGGAAUUACUGGGCGUAAAGCGUGUGUAGGCGGCCAAGCAAGUCGGAUGUGAAAGCCCAGGGCUCAACCCUGGAAGUGCACUCGAUACUGCUUGGCUUGAGUAUCGGAGAGGUUGGUGGAAUUCUCGGUGUAGAGGUGAAAUUCGUAGAUAUCGAGAGGAACACCGGUUGCGAAGGCGGCCAACUGGACGAAUACUGACGCUGAGACACGAAAGCGUGGGGAGCAAACAGG